CUGGGCCUACGGGACGCAGCAGUAGGGAAUCUUCCACAAUGGGCGAAAGCCUGAUGCAGCAAUGCCGCGUGGGUGAAGAAGCACUCCGGUGCGUAAAGCCCUGUCAGCAGGGAAGAAAAUGACAGUACCUGGACAAGAAGCCCCGGCUAACUACGUGCCAGCAGCCGCGGUAAUACGUAGGGGGCAAGCGUUAUCCGGAUUUACUGGGUGUAAAGGGUGCGUAGGCGGCCUUGCAAGUCAGAAGUGAAAUCCAUGGGCUUAACCCGUGAACUGCUUUUGAAACUGUAGGGCUUGAGUGAAGUAGA
rnacentral:rRNA from 1 species